rnacentral:rRNA from 1 species
UACAGAGGUCUCAAGCGUUAUUCGGAUUCAUUGGGCGUAAAGGGCGCGUAGGCUGCGGGGCAAGUCGGGUGUGAAAUCUCAGAGCUCAACUCUGAAACUGCACUCGAUACUGCUUUGCUUGAGGACUGGAGAGGAGAUUGGAAUUCACGGUGUAGCAGUGAAAUGCGUAGAUAUCGUGAGGAAGACCAGUGGCGAAGGCGGAUCUCUGGACCGAGAUCUGACGCUGAGGCGCGAAAGCCAGGUGGGAGAAACAGGG